GGGGCCUUGUCUACAGGUUAUCU
rnacentral:misc_RNA from 1 species